GUGGGGAAUCUUCCGCAAUGGACGAAAGUCUGACGGAGCAACGCCGCGUGAGUGAAGAAGGUUUUCGGAUCGUAAAGCUCUUUCGUUAGGGACGAACGUGCUCUUUGUGAAUAAUGAGGAGUAAUGACGGUACCUAAAUAAGAAGCCACGGCUAACUACGUGCCAGCAGCCGCGGUAAUACGUAGGUGGCAAGCGUUGUCCGGAAUUAUUGGGCGUAAAGCGCGCGCAGGCGGGAUAUCAAGUCUGUCUUAAAAGUGCGAGGCUCAACCUCGUGAGGGGACAGAAACUGGUAUUCUUGAGUGUCGGAGAGGAAAGUGGAAUUCCAAGGGUAGCGGUGAAAUGCGUAGAGAUGUGGAAGAACACCAGUGGCGAAGGCGACUUUCUGGACGAUGUCUGACGCUGAGGCGCGAAAGCUAGGGGAGCGAACGGGAUUAGAAACCCUGGUAGUCC
rnacentral:rRNA from 1 species